AUUGAACGCUGGCGGCAGGCCUUACACAUGCAAGUCGAACGAGCGGCGGACGGGUGAGUAAUGUAUGGGGAUGUGCCCGAUAGAGGGGGAUAACUACUGGAAACGGUGGCUAAUACCGCAUACUAUUGGAGCGGCCGAUAUGGGAUUAGCUAGUUGGUGGGGUAAAGGCUCACCAAGGCGACGAUCCGUAGCUGGUCUGAGAGGAUGACCAGCCACACUGGGACUGAGACACGGCCCAGACUCCUACGGGAGGCAGCAGUGGGGAAUAUUGGACAAUGGGCGAAAGCCUGAUCCAGCCAUGCCGCGUGUAUGAUGAAGGCCUUAGGGUUGUAAAGUACUUUCAGCGGGGAAGCGUUACCCGCAGAAGAAGCACCGGCUAACUACGUGCCAGCCGCCGCGGUAAUUC
rnacentral:rRNA from 1 species